AGCUUGGAUGCUGAAGUAGGUUUCACUGUGUUUUCUAAGCGAACUGUAAAGAUAAAAAUAUGGUGACCAGGAGAAGCUUGUGCGAGGGAGUCUACCGUGGGCUAGGUCUGCAGAGGUUGGAGGAAAGUUAAUAGAAUAGAAGGAACCCCAGAGCGAGCCAGCUGAAUAAUCAAAUCUCUGUUGCAUAACAGAACUGUUAAAUAAACAGUGUCGAAUAACAGAAGGCCUUGUUUGAGACUGUUGCAACUCUGGAUGCCUAUGAAAAUUAUUAAAUUGAAUGGAAGGACCCCCCCCCCCCCGGACACCUGUGAAAUAUUUAUUUAAUAAGAAGUAAUGGUAGAUAUUUAUACAUUUGUGGCAGAUCCUACUACUAACCACAACGAUUCAAAAGCGCCUGUUACGGAUAGAAAGCAGUGACCUCAGCGCAUUGAAUGGACCACUUCAGUCUCCAGACAAUAAUCCAACGAAAAAUACUCGUCCAAUGAUCCUACUUCACAAACUACACA